rnacentral:snRNA from 1 species
UCCAACCUACCUGGUAAUAGG